AUUGAACGCUGGCGGCAGGCCUAACACAUGCAAGUCGAGCGAGCGGCGGACGGGUGAGUAAUGUCUGGGGAUCUGCCUGAUGGAGGGGGAUAACUACUGGAAACGGUAGCUAAUACCGCAUACUAUCAGAUGACCCCAUAUGGGAUUAGCUAGUAGGUGGGGUAAUGGCUCACCUAGGCGACGAUCUCUAGCUGGUCUGAGAGGAUGACCAGCCACACUGGAACUGAGACACGGCCCAGACUCCGACGGGAGGCAGCAGUGGGGAAUAUUGCACAAUGGGCGCAAGCCUGAUGCAGCCAUGCCGCGUGUAUGAAGAAGGCCUUAGGGUUGUAAAGUACUUUCAGCGGGGAGGCGUUACUCGCAGAAGAAGCACCGGCUAACUCCGUGCCAGCAGCCGCGGUAAUAC
rnacentral:rRNA from 1 species